AAAUUGAAGAGUUUGAUCAUGGCUCAGAUUGAACGCUGGCGGCAGGCCUAACACAUGCAAGUCGAACGGUAACAGGAAACAGCUUGCUGUUUCGCUGACGAGUGGCGGACGGGUGAGUAAUGUCUGGGAAACUGCCUGAUGGAGGGGGAUAACUACUGGAAACGGUAGCUAAUACCGCAUAACGUCGCAAGACCAAAGAGGGGGACCUUCGGGCCUCUUGCCAUCGGAUGUGCCCAGAUGGGAUUAGCUUGUUGGUGGGGUAACGG
rnacentral:rRNA from 1 species